GCAUCGGUGGUUCAGUGUGAAUUCUCGCCUGCCACGCGGGAGGCCCGGGUUCGAUUCCCGGCCGAUGCA
rnacentral:tRNA from 1 species